UCUGCCGUUUCUUCGUCUUAUUUCGGGAUCGUUUGAGUUGGAAACCUGCAAGACUGCAACGAAGAACUCCUACAUAAUUCUCCUGUCUUCUUUUUCCUAUAAUCUUUUGGUGUGGUUGUAGUUUUAUUUAAAAAGUUGCUGCUUUUGCAUAGCUCGUUGGUGUAAAGAGUGAUUCAUUGAUCCUGGAUUAUUAGCAAAGUUAAUAGAGGACACUUAAUACGGACGUCGCUCGAUCUGUCGAUGCUAACUCCCAUUUUAAAUUCGCUUUCCUUGGGACCGACGCCCUAGACAAUGGCACAGGCCCAGAACCUAGAAUACCAAGAAGUUGCUAUUAUUUUCCAACAGCAGGAGGCAAGCAUCCUCCGCACCCAGCCCGCCGAAGCCGAAGCACUUCGUCUUCAGCUGGUUGCGGCGGUCGAGCAGGAAUUCCAGUUGCAGCCAGUACUGUGCCACUGGAUGUUAGGGAUGGUUCCAUACCAUUUUUACUUCUCUACGAUUUCUCCACAAGUGGGAAACCAUGGCGUUUUGGGCACAUUCCUGCUUAAUUUCAUUCGUCAGAACGCCGCUAUGCUGCCACAAGUGGGAUUGCGUACCUCCCGUGCGACUUCAUCAGGGAUAUUACUCCCCCACCCUCCAGUAGCGGGCGAAUAAAUAGCCCUUUUUUUGGGUGAGGUGAAAAAUUGCUCCCUUAAAAUUGUGAAAAAUUGUAUCUCUUCGUGAUAGUGCUACUGGUGUAAUACUGCGCUGGAUCUUGUUCGAUUCUCAAUAAAAAUAAACAGUGUU